GCUUGUCUCAAAGAUUAAGCCAUGCAUGUCUUAGUGUAAAUAACUCUUAUGAAACUGCGAAUGGCUCAUUAAAUCAGUUAUCAAAUACGUGAUGGUCGCCUACUACAUGGAUAACCGUAGUAAUUCUAGAGCUAAUACAUGCGUAAAAACCCGACUUCGGAAGGGUUGUAUUUAUUAGAUACAAAACCAACGCAGGGCUUGCCCUGGUUUUUGGUGAUUCAUAAUAACUUUUCGGAUCGCAUGGCGCAAGCCGGCGACGUUUCAUUCAAAUUUCUGCCCUAUCAACUUUCGAUGGUAAGGUAUUGGCUUACCAUGGUUACAACGGGUAACGGAGAAUUAGGGUUCGAUUCCGGAGAGGGAGCCUGAGAAACGGCUACCACUUCCAAGGAAGGCAGCAGG
rnacentral:rRNA from 1 species